rnacentral:rRNA from 1 species
UACGUAGGGGGCAAGCGUUGUCCGGAUUUAUUGGGCGUAAAGAGCGUGUAGGCGGCCAUGUAGGUCCGUUGUGAAAACUCGAGGCUCAACCUCGAGACGCCGAUGGAAACCAUGUGGCUAGAGUCCGGAAGAGGAGAGUGGAAUUCCUGGUGUAGCGGUGAAAUGCGCAGAUAUCAGGAAGAACACCCGUGGCUAAGGCGGCUCUCUAGUACGGUACUGACGCUGAGACGCGAAAGCGUGGGGAGCGGACAGG